rnacentral:rRNA from 1 species
CCUACGGGAGGCAGCAGUGGGGAAUAUUGCGCAAUGGGCGAAAGCCUGACGCAGCGACGCCGCGUGAGGGAUGAAGGUCUUCGGAUCGUAAACCUCUGUCAGCAGGGAAGAACGGUCACUGUGCUAAUCAGCAGUGAAUUGACGGUACCUGCAAAGGAAGCACCGGCUAACUCCGUGCCAGCAGCCGCGGUAAUACGGAGGGUGCGAGCGUUAAUCGGAAUUACUGGGCGUAAAGCGCUCGUAGGCGGUAUGUCAAGUCAAGGGUGAAAUCCCCGCGCUCAACGUGGGAACUGCCUUUGAAACUGGCAGACUGGAGUGUGGUAGAGGAUAGUGGAAUUCCAGGUGUAGGGGUGAAAUCCGUAGAUAUCUGGAGGAACAUCAGUGGCGAAGGCGACUAUCUGGCAAAUAACUGACGCUGAGGAGCGAAAGCGUGGGUAGCAAACAGGAUUAGAUACCCUAGUAGUC